rnacentral:rRNA from 1 species
CUMCGUGCCAGCAGCCGCGGUAAUACGGAAGGUCCGGGCGUUAUCCGGAUUUAUUGGGUUUAAAGGGAGCGUAGGCUGGAGAUUAAGUGUGUUGUGAAAUGUAGACGCUCAACGUCUGACUUGCAGCGCAUACUGGUUUCCUUGAGUACGCACAACGUUGGCGGAAUUCGUCGUGUAGCGGUGAAAUGCUUAGAUAUGACGAAGAACUCCGAUUGCGAAGGCAGCUGACGGGAGCGCAACUGACGCUGAAGCUCGAAGGUGCGGGUAUCGAACAGGAUUAGAUACCCUGGUAGUCCGCACAGUAAACGAUGGAUGCCCGCUGUUGGUACCUGGCAUCAGCGGCUAAGCGAAAGCAUUAAGCAUCCCACCUGGGGAGUACGCCGGCAACGGUGAAACUCAAAGGAAUUGACGGGGGCCCGCACAAGCGGAGGAACAUGUGGUUUAAUUCGAUGAUACGCGAGGAACCUUACCCGGGCUUGAAUUGCAGAGGAAGGAUUUAGAGAUA